GACGAACGCUUGCGGCGUGCUUAACACAUGCAAGUCGAACGGAAAGGCCCUGCUUUUGUGGGGUGCUCGAGUGGCGAACGGGUGAGUAACACGUGAGUAACCUGCCCUUGACUUCGGGAUAACUUCAGGAAACUGGGGCUAAUACCGGAUAGGAGCUCCUGCUGCAUGGUGGGGGUUGGAAAGUUCCGGCGGUUGGGGAUGGACUCGCGGCUUAUCAGCUUGUUGGUGGGGUAGUGGCUUACCAAGGCUUUGACGGGUAGCCGGCCUGAGAGGGUGACCGGCCACAUUGGGACUGAGAUACGGCCCAGACUCCUACGGGAGGCAGCAGUGGGGAAUAUUGCACAAUGGGCGGAAGCCUGAUGCAGCAACGCCGCGUGCGGGAUGACGGCCUUCGGGUUGUAAACCGCUUUCGCCUGUGACGAAGCGUGAGUGACGGUAAUGGGUAAAGAAGCACCGGCUAACUACGUGCCAGCAGCCGCGGUGAUACGUAGGGUGCGAGCGUUGUCCGGAUUUAUUGGGCGUAAAGGGCUCGUAGGUGGUUGAUCGCGUCGGAAGUGUAAUCUUGGGGCUUAACCCUGAGCGUGCUUUCGAUACGGGUUGACUUGAGGAAGGUAGGGGAGAAUGGAAUUCCUGGUGGAGCGGUGGAAUGCGCAGAUAUCAGGAGGAACACCAGUGGCGAAGGCGGUUCUCUGGGCCUUUCCUGACGCUGAGGAGCGAAAGCGUGGGGAGCGAACAGGCUUAGAUACCCUGGUAGUCCACGCUGUAAACGGUGGGUACUAGGUGUGGGGUCCAUUCCACGGGUUCCGUGCCGUAGCUAACGCUUUAAGUACCCCGCCUGGGGAGUACGGCCGCAAGGCUAAAACUCAAAGGAAUUGACGGGGCCCCGCACAAGCGGCGGAGCAUGCGGAUUAAUUCGAUGCAACGCGUAGAACCUUACCUGGGUUUGACAUGGAUCGGGAGUGCUCAGAGAUGGGUGUGCCUCUUUUGGGGUCGGUUCACAGGUGGUGCAUGGCUGUCGUCAGCUCGUGUCGUGAGAUGUUGGGUUAAGUCCCGCAACGAGCGCAACCCUUGUUCACUGUUGCCAGCACGUUAUGGUGGGGACUCAGUGGAGACCGCCGGGGUCAACUCGGAGGAAGGUGGGGAUGACGUCAGGUCAUCAUGCCCCUUAUGUCCAGGGCUUCACGCAUGCUACAAUGGCUGGUACAGAGAGUGGCGAGCCUGUGAGGGUGAGCGAAUCUCGGAAAGCCGGUCUCAGUUCGGAUUGGGGUCUGCAACUCGACCUCAUGAAGUCGGAGUCGCUAGUAAUCGCAGAUCAGCAACGCUGCGGUGAAUACGUUCCCGGG
rnacentral:rRNA from 1 species